CUCUUCCGAUCUCUCAGAUUGAACGCUGGCGGUAGGCUUAACACAUGCAAGUCGUGCGAGAAAGUAUCUUCGGAUAUGAGUAGAGCGGCGGACGGGUGAGUAACGCGUAGGAAUCUACCUAGUAGAAGGGGAUAGCCCGGGGAAACCCGGAUUAAUACCGUAUACCUCCUUCGGGAGAAAGAAGGCCUCUCUUUGAAGCUUUCGCUACUAGAUGAGCCUGCGUAAGAUUAGCUUGUUGGUGAGGUAAAGGCUCACCAAGGCAACGAUCUUUAGCUGGUCUGAGAGGACGAUCAGCCACAUUGGGACUGAGACACGGCCCAGACUCCUACGGGAGGCAGCAGUGGGGAAUAUUGGACAAUGGGCGCAAGCCUGAUCCAGCCAUACCGCGUGUGUGAAGAAGGCCUUCGGGUUGUAAAGCACUUUAAGCAGGGAGAAAAAGUUAUAAGCUAAUACCUUAUAACCUUGAUGUUACCUGCAGAAUAAGCACCGGCUAAUUCCGUGCCAGCAGCCGCGGUAAUACGGAAGGUGCAAGCGUUAAUCGGAAUUACUGGGCGUAAAGCGCGCGUAGGUGGUUUGUUAAGUUGGAUGUGAAAGCCCUGGGCUCAACCUAGGAACUGCAUCCAAAACUAACUCACUAGAGUACGAUAGAGGGAGGUAGAAUUCAUAGUGUAGCGGUGGAAUGCGUAGAUAUUAUGAAGAAUACCAGUGGCGAAGGCGGCCUCCUGGAUCUGUACUGACACUGAGGUGCGAAAGCGUGGGUAGCGAACAGGAUUAGAUACCCUGGUAGUCCACGCC
rnacentral:rRNA from 1 species